UACGUAGGGUGCGAGCGUUGCCCGGAUUUAUUGGGCGUAAAGGGCGCGUAGGCGGCCACGCACGUCCGUUGUGAAAUCGCCCGGCUCAACUGGGCCAGGUCAGCGGAUACGGUGUGGCUCGAGCAAGCUAGGGGGCAAUGGAAUUCCAGGUGUAGCGGUGAAAUGCGUAGAUAUCUGGAGGAAUACCGGUGGCGAAGGCGGCAUCCUGGACCGGCAUUGACGCUGAGGAGCGAAAGCUAGGGGAGCAAACGGG
rnacentral:rRNA from 1 species